rnacentral:misc_RNA from 1 species
AUAAAAUUACAGAUAUGCAACCAUUCAAAUCAAAUAAUUACAAUUUUUUAACACACAAAUGCAUGUGUGUCUUCCCACUUACAAAUUUUUCUGGAUCCACCACUGACGACAUAAAUGUAAAAUCACACCCUUGGACAAAUACCACAGACAACUUAUGAAAAGAGAUACCCAGAAACUGAAAGAAAUCUGAAAAUCAAGUCCCUGUGAGCCAUGCACAAUAAAUCCCACAACUAAAUUCAUUAUUAAAUAUUUUUUAUGAAAGGCCAAUGAAAUCCCACAGUAAAGAUUGUUCGGAGCUCCUGAAUUCCGUGCAGCUCAUGUCCCAAAACUGCCAAGUUCAUGCUCGCAGUCUCUGCAACAACACUAUUAUAAACCAAAAGGCGACAACUUUGACUUUUAAGAAUGGCACUACAAAUCCAUAAUACCUCGAGCAAGAAUCUACAAAAAGAGACCUUUUUUUUUCUUCAAUUGCUUUUCUCCUACAUAUCAAUUUCACUGAAUUUCUCAUCAACCAAACAGAAUAUCAGUCUAGGAAACAAAGAUGGGUUUUUCUACAAAUCAUGAACAAGGUAGGUCACAAAAGGAACUCAUUAUUCUAAUCCAUGCAUAUAGCUGAAAGAACCUAAAUCUUCAUAAAUGAAAAGAAGCAAAGUCGAAUUAACAAACCCAACAGCAGUAAGGAUGCCAAAUUCCAGUAAAUAACUA